UACGUGAGGGGCGAACGUUGUUCGGUGUCACUGGGCUUAAAGGGCGCGUAGGUGGUUGUGUAAGUAACGUGUGAAAUCCCUCGGCUUACCCGGGGAAUUGCAUGUUAUACUGCAUGACUUGAGGAUCAGAGGGGAAUGGGGAACUCCAGGUGUAGCGGUGAAAUGCGCAGAUAUCCGGGGGAAGGCCGGCGGCGAAGGCGCCAUUCUGGCUGAUUCCUGACACUGAGGCGCGAAAGCGUGGGGAGCAAACAGG
rnacentral:rRNA from 1 species